AUGAACACAGACACCAUCUUGCCCGGCGAGUUCUCUCCAGAAACCGGACAUUAAUCUCUCAAGGAGGAACAUUUGAGAUGGGCUUCUUUUCACCAGGUAACACUGGUAACUACUAUGUUGGCAUUUGGUACAAAGGAUUACCUCAAAAGACUCUAGUUUGGGUCGCAAAUAGGAACCAUCCAGUGUCCGACCCAUUCUCCUCAGAGUUGGAGCUCCUCUGGGACGGUAAUUUAGUCGUACUCGCUUCAUCCAAGCGUCAAAUCUGGUCGACCCGUUUGACAUUGCUCAUGCCUAAUUCGACUUCAGGAGUGCCUUGACAAUGGAAACUUCAUUUUAAGGAAGACAUCCGACGUGUCUAGUGUAGCUUGGCAGAGUUUUGAUCAUCCCACUGAUACGUGGUUGCCAGGUGCCAAGUUUAAAUUCAACACUUCCGAAAAGACAGUUCUGGUGGCGUGGAGAAAUUUAAACGAUCCAACUUCCGGAAUAUUCUCGACAUCCAUGGGAGCAAAAGGAACUCUUUCGCUAUUUAACAGGUCGGAAGCCUACUGGAUUGGACGCGACUGGACUGGGGACGAUUACAGGCGUCGGUCUUCACUGACAGCAGAAAACGUGAUAAACUACACCUUUGUUUCGAAUGAGAAUGAGACUUACUCCAAAUAUUCCGCAAUUGCUCCUUAUAAUCUUUCUAGGAUUGUGCUUGAACCGACGGGGCUGCUCAAGCAAGUGAUGCACCGCUUUGUGAUUGUGUUUGGAUCCUCAGAUGAUCUGAAGCCGGAAGAUCAUCUGGGCCAAUGCAAUAGGAGAAACGCGUUGGAAUGUAGUGGAGAUAGGAAAGAUAUUUUUUUCCUCAUGCCUCGUACACAAUUCCCAAAUAAUUAUGAUUCGUUCAUGGUGGAAAACAUUGAUGCAUGCAGGUUAUUGUGCUUGAGCAACUGUUCGUGCAGUGCAUUCGCUUACACUGCUAACUGUCGGAUAUGGACGGAUGAGAGAUUUUUAGUUCAACGUUCAGCCAAUGAUGGAGUAUUUAAAGAUUUCUAUGUCCGGAUCGCGGUGUUGGAUUGGAAGGAGGAGAUUAAGAAAAAGGGGAAACCCAGUUUGAAAUUCAUAGCAGCAGUUGUUGUGUCCUUAGCUUUUCUCGUGCUCCUUAGUGUCGCUGGUUACUAUUAGGACAAGACGGUCUGCUACUGCAGUGGACGAUCAUUUGCUGCAUUUUGAAUAUCGAGUUCUGAAGAAGGCAACAAAGAACUUCUCUGAGAAAAUUGGGGAAGGAGGGUUUAGUUCUGUUUUCUGGGGAGCACUGCCAGACUCAACUCCUGUAGCAGUGAAGAAACUUGCAAACCAAAACCAAAGUAACAAACAGUUCCUUGCGGAAAUUAGAACUAUUGGAAUGAUACAGCACGUCAAUGUGGUUCGACUGCGUGGCUUUUCUGCAGAAGAGUCGAAGAGGUUCCUAGUUUAUGACUACCUUACAAAUGGUUCGCUUCAGCUCAUUUGUUUCAGAAAGGUUCCAACACCCUCGAUUGGAAAACCAGAUACAACAUUGCCAUUGGGAUUGCUAAAGGAUUGGAGUACCUCCAUGAGAGGUGUCGAGAUCGCAUCAUACACUGCGAUAUCAAGCCGGAGAAUAUACUUUUGGAUUCAGAACUCGCACCACAGAUUGCUGAUUUCGGCCUCACGAAGCUUGUGGGACGGGAUGCCAGCCAGGUAAUUACCACCAUGAGGGGAACCAGAGGGUACCUCGCGCCAGAAUGGAUUUCAGGAGGAGCCAUCACGUCAAAAGUCGAUGUUUUCAGCUAUGGAAAGCUGCUCUUUGAGAUCAUAUCAGAAAGAGAAACAUUGAGGAGCUGAAUAGUGAUAUGCGCGAUUAUCUACCGCUUCAGGUAGCUAAGUCAAUAGCCAAAGGAGAAGAAGUCUUGCCACUUGUGGACCGCCGAUUGGAAGGACUAGUGGAGAUGGAAGAAUUGUGCAGAGCAUGCAAAGUGGCUUGUUGGUGCAUUCAAGACAGCGAGAAAGAUAGACCGACCAUGUCUCAGGUAGUUCAGAUUUUGGAGGGGGUAAUGGCAGUAGAAAAGCCUCCUAUCCCAAGAAUUUUGUUGCAACUGGUAGGAAGUGAUGAGAUUGAGGCAUAAAACGUAGCACUAUGCCCUUUCUUCGAUAAUUUAUGGGCAUGGUGUAGCCCCAAUCCAUCCUCCUUUGAGUUUCUACAGUUACAAGCUGUGUACCUCCAUGGCCAAUAAAUUACGGUAACCAUUGUGGCCACUCGAAAUAUAAAGACAAAACAGUUAAUGUCGCUGAUGGACUCACUGGUCUAGGAUCUGUA